ACAAGCGGCGGAGCAUGCGAUUAAUUCGAUGCAACGCGAAGAACUUACCAAGGCUUGACAUACACCGGUAACGCCCAGAGAUGGUGCCCCUUGUGGUCGGUGGACAGGUGGUGCAUGGUUGUCGUCAGCUCGUGUCGUGAGAUGUUGGGUUAAGUCCCGCAACGAGCGCAACCCUCGUCCUAUGUUGCCAGCGGGUCAUGCCGGGGACUCAUGGGAGACUGCCGGGGUCAACUCGGAGGAAGGUGGGAUGACGUCAAAUCAUCAUGCCCCUUAUGUCUUGGGCUUCACGCAUGCUACAAUGGCCGGUACAAAGGGCUGCGAUACCGCGAGGUGGAGCGAAUCCCAGAAAGCCGGUCUCAGUUCGGAUUGGGGUCUGCAACUCGACCCCAUGAAGUCGGAGUCGCUAGUAAUCGCAGAUCAGCAACGCUCGCGGUCCGAAUACGUUCCGGGCCUU
rnacentral:rRNA from 1 species